GCGUACAGGUUCCGUAGGUGACCUGCGGAAGGAUCAUUA
rnacentral:rRNA from 1 species